rnacentral:rRNA from 1 species
UACGAAGGGGCUAGCGUUGUUCGGAAUUACUGGGCGUAAAGCGUGCGCAGGCGGCUUCUCAAGUCAGGGGUGAAAGCCCAGAGCUCAACUCUGGAAUUGCCUUUGAGACUGAGUGGCUUGAGUACGAGAGAGGUGAGUGGAAUUCCCAGUGUAGAGGUGAAAUUCGUAGAUAUUGGGAAGAACACCGGUGGCGAAGGCGGCUCACUGGCUCGUAACUGACGCUCAUGCAACGCAGCGUGGGGAUCAAACAGG